rnacentral:lncRNA from 1 species
CAAGUGAGCUAAUAUAUGCUCUUGGGCAUUAAAAUAGAAACAAGCUGAAACGGAAGUGCCCCUGGAAACCCUCUCCCAGCCUCACUCAGUGUGGACCAGGAAGCGGGAUGUGGAUGCGGCUUCCAGAGACAUGGACUCCAGAAGGCCAACCCUGCGCCGUGGUGUCACCACGGAGCACGUUUCCAGGACAGGAUGGUCUCUUCCAAAGUGGAAGAAGGCCAGGGGCCAGGAGCAGUCUCCAGUGGCCCAGGCCUCACCCACUUUCAGGCUUCCUAGCGAUUCUCUCGAGGCCUCUGAUUGGAGGCCCCAUGGGAUGUGAGGGGUCCGCCUCCCAAUAGCCGAAGUUGUUUAUCAGAGGCUUCUCUUUCUGGUUCAUUUUCAUAAUCUUAAAUUUAGCUAAUUGGUUCCUAAAUCAAAUUUUGCAAAUAGUUUCUUGUCAUAAAAAACAACAUCAGCCUUAUAACUGGGAGGCCUCUCAGCAUAAAGGGGUGUGUGCAGUUAGAUCCUAUAUUCAUAGGCUGGAGAGCCCAUCACAUCCCCUACAACAUAGAGGGAACUCUUCAGUUCAGAAGGCACAAAAUUGUGUUUUGUUUUGUUUAAUGAAGAUGUGACAGUCAUCUGAAUACUGGGUUUCAUAACCUAAACAGAUUUCCAAACUUUGGGGAUUGCUUCCAAAUAAAAAAAAGUGCUGCAUGCAGAAAAAGAUCAAGGAGCCCAAUUCUAGUUUCCACUCAUUCAAAUUUCUCUUGCCUAGUGCCUCAUUCAAAUUUCCCUUGCCUAGUGCAUUAAUCAUUUUAUGAAAAUAGGUUUUUUCCCUGCAAGGUUUCUAGUAUUUAUGAAAUUACUCUUAGUUGGAAACAUAAGAUAAACCAACACUCAAGCUUUUCUCAAUUCCUAGACAAACACACUAAAUAAAAGAGGUGGUUAGGACUAAGUUUUCCAGAAACCCAGUGCCAAUUCCUGAUGGGAUUAUUUCAGCUCUACUUUUUCUAACAUGGUUAAUUGUUGAUGAAGUAUGGAAAAAAACAGAAAAUAAAAUGAAGCUCUUUUCUCUUAUGUGCAUAAUAUUCCAUAAUAUAUGGAAGUCAAAAGCUGCUUCACAGGUGGGGAACAGGGCUGGUGCAAGGGGAGAUACACACUUCAAAAGAAUGCAACUUAAUAGGGCUGGCAGGCCCCACGUGGCUCCAAACCCUACACAGCAUGGCCCUCCCAACUCAAACUCCAGUUGAAGACCUCAGAGGGAAUUGACCGGAUUCUGUUUUAGAAACACAUAAAACCAAAAAAAUCUAGCACCAGAGGGAGACAGAUACAAAUGGGAACAGCCCAACAAGAUGGAACAUUUACAACGUAGGUCUCUCAGAAGCCCUGUCUUUGGUUGCAACCAUCAGCACAUGCAGAAAUGUGUCACCCCCCACUCUACACCCUCCCCCAACACAGUGCUCACUGUGAUCCUUAUCUACCCAAACCAGAUUACUCAAGCCAGAGCAGAGAUUGAUUGUCUUUGCCCAAGGUCGGCAAUCAGCCAUCAAUUAUACUUGCCACAUGCUAGGCUGUUCCUAACUCAGAAAUCUUAGAGCAUUUAGUUGCACAUAGAAAGGACUCCAUAAAUGUUUGUUGAAUUGAAUGGAAUGAUUGUGCUCAACUAAUAGCCAUUGCUCAACUGUUUCCCAAUAUCCACUGGUCCUUAACAUCAACUCUCAUCACUUGGACCUUCUCUUGCCUGUGUUUGUCAACAAGGUUUAUAUUUCAGGACACCAGACCAACUCACCUUCUAGACCCUGAACCUACCUAUGUUCUCCACCAACACCUCACCCUCAUCUCCGCCUUAACUCAAGAUUCACCUGUCUCCACUGUCUGACAUCUCUUGAUCUAUUCACAGCUACCAGUACUCAGCUGUGACAUUUAGAAGUGGAAUCAAGGAGGAGAAGGAUUGUGAGGAAAGAGGAAAGAGUUUACAUUUGCUCUCCCCACUGCUGUGUGCCAGGCACUGCAUAUAUUAUCUCUUGUAAUUCUGUUUUUAAAGAAUGCUGGAGACUAGGGAAAUGAUACUUCCACUGUCUGAGCCUUUGGGUCAGGAAACUAACUCAAAUGCCAAGAUCCCAAAUGCCUUCCACAAUGGAGACAUUAAACCCUUUUAAGUUAGUGAUUUUUAAUUUACGAUUUUAAAUUAUGAGAAUUGAUGAACACCCAUAAUGAAAUUUUCAUCCACCCACUAUAAAAUGAAGUACUAAAAUGUGAUUCCCUAAGGCUGAAAUAUACUAUUCAAAGAACUAUCCUUUGUUCUGAGACUAUAGGGGAAUCCUAUCUUAGGAAGGAGUAAAAUAAUCUCUCAUUGCAAAAAUUCACAUGCUCAAAAUUGCUCUUCAAAAUCUUUCAAGGAGGUACCAAAAUCAAGUCCAAUAAACCAUUACUUCUUCUUUUUUUUUUUUUUUUUUUUUGAGAUGGAGUUUUGCUCUUGUUGCCCAGGCUGGCAUGCAAUGGCACGAUCUUGGCUCACUGCAACCUCCACCUCCUGGGUUCCAGCAAUUCUCCUGCCUCAGCCUCCCGAGUAGCUGGGAUUACAGGUAUGCGCGACCACGCCAGCUAAUUUGGCAUUUUUAGUAGAGAUGGGGUUUCACCAUGUUGGCCAGGCUGGUCUCAAACUCCUGACCUCAGGUAAUCUACCUGCCUCGGCCUCCCAAAGUGCUGGGAUUACAGGCGUGAGCCACUGUGCCCAGCCCCAGUAAACCAUUAUUACUUAACAAGUUUAAUCACAGCCUAUUUUUCUUACAGCAUUGGACAAGAUCACUAGUUCUACAGCUGACUAUACCUGGUGAAAUAUUUGGCCCACUUUAAGUGCCAGGCUGUUAAAAAGAAAAAAAAAAAAACAAGCAGAACAAAAACCUUCUCUUAAAGACUAGAAUCGCACUCAGCUGAGGAACACGGAACUGUGUGGUAGUCACGUGGUUGUAAGCAUAUGUAUAAAAGUCAUCACAUUUUUUGCCUUAGAUUUUUUCACUUUACUAUGUUUAAAUUUACCUCCAUAAAGUGUUGUAAGAAAGUCUUAUAGUGAUUAUCAAAUGAUUUUGCAGGGAAUUCUCAAACAAGAAUUCUCCCUUCUCUCACAACUGAAUUUUAAUCAAUGCACUUAAAUCCUUAAGUUUUUGAGUUUUAAGCUCCCUCCUUGGGAGGAAGUUCAGUACCUAAGGAACCUUCGUAAUUCUUUCAUAUAUUGAGUAAAGAUGCCAAAGUCACUGAUUAAAGCUCCCUAACCUCUUAACUCAUUACCACAAAACCACCCUGGGGGCCAGGGAUCCUGGGUUUUCACUGCCUUCUUUAUGAAACUUUCUUUCAUCUUAGCGGAAAUAAUAACUCAAAAUCAGUAUGUUAGUCGGUCAAAGCAUUGUUAAUCCAAUAGCAAAUGUCUUGACUUUUUAGAUUACAGGCAACUAGGGAAAUACUUAUAAUAGUUAAGGUUUUUUUAAAAACAAACAAACAAAUCUUCCAUGAAGUCUAUAUGAAUUAUUUUUUUUUGUUGCUUUACAGAGCAAAAAUUGUCUUAAAUCUUCUCGAUUUAAAAAAAAAAUCAAAGUGAUGCUUCCUUGUUAGCUUGCAAAACCCAGAAAAUGAUACUGUCGGAAAACACUAGUGAUUUAAUUAGCUAUUAAAUAGACAACUUCCUUUCACCCUCUCGAUUCAUAGCUCCCAUGGGAGAAUUUAUUAACUUUAGUGGCUAAGUUCACAUUAAUUAAGCCUAACUGCCCUUGACCAGUUAAAUAGCUAAUCUGUAAAAAUGUAGCUGAUUUUGGAUGUGUGUGUGUAUAAAAUUAUUGAUAAUUUUUUAUGUAUUUUAAUAUCGCCAUUGCUUCAGGAUACUGCUUUACAAGCAUGCAUCAUUAGAAGAUAAAUCCAUAAUGAUAAAGCAUUUCCAUUCACACAUGCGAUCUUUCGCAUCAGCCUUGUAAAUUUCAGCAUUGCCCCCGAACAUUUCUUCACGUGUUUUCCAAAGCUAAGUCUCUGGAAUCCCUGACUUUAAACUGUUGAGUAAGUUCAAGUUGAGUUUCAUGCUGGCAAAGAGAGUGCCUAACUACAAAGAAAUACCUACCGUGUAAUCGCUGUUUCAUGUCCGCUCGGACCGCCCAUUCUGUUUCAUUAUUGCUCUUUCAGCCACCUCCAGGCCGAACACUCAGACAAAAUCACUCUGGCAACUUGUGAAUGCCUUCUGCUCAUGUAGGAUGGCUGUUUUGCCCCCUGUGCUUUCUUUACUGAGCUGUUUAAUAAACAGCAGGGUAGCUGGGAAUUUCUUGGAAGGAGCCUGGCAGGGAGAGGGCACCGUGGUGCCGACUUUCCAGGCUGACUCGCCGUUGCAUUUGCAAACCUGGGGCUCCCCAGCCAUCCCCACAGAGCUGCUGAAUAGGUUGCUAAGGGCUUGGCAAUGUUCUGCACAGCCACUGCUGAUACUAAAGAGGCCGCAACAGGCUGGAUCCCAGAAGAAAGGAACUGCUAACAGGUUGAGUCACCAUGAAUGCGGGACUCCUUCGUUUAAUAAUCUCAGACAAUUCUUUCUGGGCUUAAACGCCCCACAGUCCUGUGACAAUGUCCCAGAGAUUCAAAGGUAAGUUACCUGAUGCCUUCAGAACACAUUUCCUUUUAUUCACAGGAUAGUAAAGCUUCUCCCUCAUGCAUAUUCACUGGGGUUUUUUUUGUUUUGUUUUGUUUUGUUUUGUUUUGACGGAGUCUCACUCUGUCACCCAGGCUGGAGAACAAUGGCACGAUCUCUGCUCACUGCAACAUCCAUCUCCCAGGUUCAAGUGAUUCUCCUGCCUCAGCCUCCCCAGUAGCUGGGACUACAGGUGCCUGCCACCACGCCUGGCUAAUUUUUGUAUUUUUAGUAGAGACAGGGUUUCGCCAUGUGGUCAAGGCUGGUCUCGAAUCCCUGACCUCAGGUGAUCCUCCUGCCUCGGCCUCCCAAAGUGCUGGGAUUACAGGCAUAAGCCACUGUGCCACAUAUUCACUGUUAACCAGCCCUCUUCAUUCAUGGCAUCUGGCCUUAAACAAGGGAAUGAAAGUUUUUUGUUUUUGUUUUUGUUUUUACAUCAAAAAGGGAGGGGAAUAGAUGAGAAGGAACAUUAAUAUCAGCUUAACUGACCUGAAACAGCAAGUGCAAAGUUGAGGGGGAUGUUGGGGUCCAAAGGUGUGUGGAGGUUCAGCAGGCAAUCUUUCCCCCCCCACACACAUCCUCCAAGUAGGGGAAGUGGAGAUCGGAAGGAGACAUUGCUCUUAUUUUGGUUGUUAACUGGACACAGGUAUGUAGUCAUGCCUCGAUGACAGUCACAAAGUCCUGGACAAGGUAACAUUGGAGUCCAGAAUAGAUGCCCAUUUUAUUUCCACCUGCUAUAGAAUGCUGAGCGCUUAGGAAACAGGAGAGCUUUUGUAGUAGUAUUUAUCUCCACCCAUCUCAUUUUUCUGUCACUCUAGGGUGGUUGAACCAUGGCAUUAUGUUCUCUAUCUCAUUCCUACUAUGGGAUGAGGCAAUGCUUGACAGAGAAAAACUGGGAUUUGGACAAGAUCUAUUCAAUGUCCCUGCACAUUGUGUAGAAGCUAGAAUUGAUGGUGCAAAUAUUACAUCUUGAAGAUAAUGCACCUGAUCUCAUCCAAACUCAGAAGCUAAGCAGGUUUGGGCCUGGUUAGUAUUUGGAUGGGAGACCACCUGGAAAUACUGGGUGCUGUAGGCUUGGCCGGGCACAGUGGCUGAUAUGGUUUGGCUGUGUCCCUACCCAAAUCCCAUCUUCAAUUGUAGUUCUCAUCAUCCCCACAUGUCAUGGGAGGGACCUGAUGGGAGGUAAUUGAAUAAUGGGGAUGGGUUUUUCUCAUACUGUUCUUGUGAUAGUGAACAAGUCUCAUGAGAUCUGAUGGUUUUAUAAAGGGGAGUUCCCCUGCACCCCCUCUCCUGCCUGCUGCCAUGUAAGACAUGACUUUGCUCCUCUUUCACCUUCCCCCAUGAUUAUGAGGCCUCCCCAGCCAUGUGGAGCUGUGAGUCCAUUAAACCUCUUUUUUUUCCUGUGAAUUACCCAGUCUCAGGUAUUUCUUCAUAGCAGUAUGAAAAAGGAUUAGUACAGUGGCCCAUGCCUGUCGUCCCAGCUACUGUCAUCUCAGCCUGAGGAUCACUUGAGACUAGGGGAUCAUUUGAGCCCAGGAGGUCGAGGCCAGCCUGCACAACACAGGGAAACUUCCUUUCAAGAAGUAAUAAUUAACUUAAAAUUUAAAAGGUGAGACUGCUCCAGGACCUAGCCAGUCUCUGCAGUUACCCUGGGUACGUCACAAGCCACAGGCACACAAGUGUAAACUCCCCCGGGGGACAAGGCCACCUCCUUCCUUGGUGACUUCCUAGCAUGUACAGGGUGUUAGCUUAAACUAUAACCUGUCCUCCCCAGGCCACAGGACCUUUGUCCUGGCCCCUCCCUAAGACUCACCAAUCACCUCCCUAGGGAAGCAGAAGAAACACAUAGGGUGCAAAGUGCCAGAGUGGCACACACCACAGUCCCAAAUAAUUCACCCGGGUGGCCAGGGGCUCAUCUGUUCCCAGUUAAAAAUACAUCUACAAGCCAGAAAUCUUGAUUUCAAACAGAUCCAAGGGUGCAAAAAGGCACUUUGAGCACAUAAGGUAUAGUAUAUAAUAAGGAACAUAAAGUUUCGUUAGAAUAAGUAAGUGUUAAGUACACGUGUGUGUGUAUGUGUGUGUGUAUAUAUAUAUAUAUAUACUAGAAAACUUUUUCAGUUAAUAAAAAUAUAUCAUAUAUCAUGCAAAUACACUGUGGUGUGUAAUAAGUACUUACCGUCAUUGAGUUCCAAUCGUACAAUUCUAGGCUUACCUGAAAAUGAAAAAAAAAAAUCACGACAUUAAUUAAACCUUAAAUAAUAGAGACUAAACAUAAUUCAAGCUGUGUACUUAUCCAGCAUAACCUGAAAGGAAUAGAAAUUUCCAUUACACAUUCAUUGCCUUAAAAGAUCUUCAAAACCAUCAUUCAUAAUCAUAAAUAAAAAUGAUUGUAAAUCAAAAUUUCUCUGAUCUACAGGGAGCAGUAUGACAAAAUCAUGUAGAAGGAUUUGUUGUGAUAUCAUCCAGUUAAACCCCAGGAAACAGUGAUGCAACAGCUCUUGGGAAAGAUCCUGCGGUGUUAUCAGUUCUUUCUUUCAAAUUCUCUUCAAGCUUGUACAUCUAGAGUAUCUCCUGCUAAAUGGCAAAUAAGCAUUGUUUCAUAAUGCUUAUAAGGCAUUCACAAAAUAAAAUACUGACAUUUUUUGACUCUUUUUCUUGUCCAUAUAAUGUGGAUUAGUCUCCAUGACAACACCAACUGUCGCAUCACAUUAUCACGGACACCUCCCAACAACUGCUGUGCUGCUGUGACCCACAGUAACCCAUUGUUCGAUUUUUAUUUUAUUUUUCGAGACAGGGGCUC